CUUGGACCAAUUCUUUUCUCGGGAGAUACAUGUUGCAGAGUUCAGAUUUCAUCUCUGAGAAUAUUUGGGGAUACAUUGAGACAAGGAUGAUACACAUGAAUGUACGAGAUGUGAACGCUGACCUCUCUGCACCGGUGUCCGGAAAAAUCAUUACUGUAUGUUUGACUGAGUCAACACUGAAAUGUUAAUCCUUCCAUGUGGAGGUGUUCCUGGCCUGGGAACGCCUCGGGAUCCUCCAGUCGGAGCUGAUUAAUGUGGCUCGGAAAGGGAAGUUUAGGGUCCCCUGCUGGAGCUGCUGCCUCCGCAAGCCGACACCGGACGAAGAUGGAUGGAUGGAGAAUAAUAAUAUAAACUGUUAAGGCAAUUCACUUUUUUGUGUACUGUAAAUUUGUAUUAUAAGACAUAUGGCCUUUUAUUUAAUACAAAUUUAUAAUUCUAACUGUUAAAAGUACAAUAAAAAACAGUGUCAAAGAUA